rnacentral:rRNA from 1 species
UACGAAGGGGGCUAGCGUUGUUCGGAAUCACUGGGCGUAAAGGGCGCGUAGGCGGCCGAUCAAGUCGGGGGUGAAAGCCUGUGGCUCAACCACAGAAUUGCCUUCGAUACUGUUUGGCUUGAGACCGGAAGAGGUUAGUGGAACUGCGAGUGUAGAGGUGAAAUUCGUAGAUAUUCGCAAGAACACCAGUGGCGAAAGCGGCUGACU